UUUCUUUCAAAAUUAGAACUGAAAGCAUCUCUAACAACUUCAUUUUACUUGACUAGUUUUUAUUACCUGCAUAUCUACCCUUCAUUAUUUGAACAGAAUUGCAAGUAGAAAAUUCUGCAACCGUAGAAGAAAAAAUUGAAAUGAUUCUGAUUUAUGGUGAAUGUAGGAGGAAUGUUGACGAUGCUGUUGCCUUAUAUGCUGAGCGUUUUCCAGACAAUGUUCGCUCACGUUCUUUUUUUUACAAAGUUGUGACUGCCUUUAUCUCGGAUGGCAGCGUACAAACUAAAAAAAGAAAACGAGGGACAACUGUUACAGGAGAAGUUAAUGAAAUAGCUAUGCUAGCAGCUGUUCACCACAACCCACAGAUGAGUCUACAUUCACAAAUCAUGGUGGCGUUAAUCGACAUAACAUGCAUUACUGGAGUGUAGAAAAUCCCCACUGGUUACGACAAGUUGAACAUCAAUGUCCUUGGUCGAUUAACGUUUGGUGUGGAAUCAUAGGGAACAGAUUCAUUGAUCCUUAUUUUAUUGAAGCAUGACGGUUGCCCAGCGCAUAACUCAAUAGCAGCACGGGA